AGCAGUAGCCGCGUAAUACGGAGGAUCCAAGCGUUAUCCGGAAUCAUUGGGUUUAAAGGGUCCGUAGGCGGUCUUGUAAGUCAGUGGUGAAAGCCCAUCGCUCAACGGUGGAACGGCCAUUGAUACUGCAGGACUUGAAUUAUUGGGAAGUAACUAGAAUAUGUAGUGUAGCGGUGAAAUGCUUAGAGAUUACAUGGAAUACCAAUUGCGAAGGCAGGUUACUACCAAUUGAUUGACGCUGAUGGACGAAAGCGUGGGUAGCGAACAGGAUUAGAUACCCGCGUAGUCCCUGUCUCUUAUACC
rnacentral:rRNA from 1 species